GGAUGCGAUCAUACCAGCACUAAAGCACCGGAUCCCAUCAGAACUCCGAAGUUAAGCGUGCUUGGGCGAGAGUAGUACUAGGAUGAGUGACCUCCUGGGAAGUCCUCGUGUUGCAUUCC
rnacentral:rRNA from 2 species